rnacentral:rRNA from 1 species
AACGAUGGAUACUAGGCGUGGUUCGUAUCGACCCAAGCCGUGCCGAAGCUAACGCGUUAAGUAUCCCGCCUGGGGAGUACGCACGCAAGUGUGAAACUCAAAGGAAUUGACGGGGGCCCGCACAAGCGGUGGAGGAUGUGGUUUAAUUCGAUGCAACGCGAAGAACCUUACCAGGGUUUGACAUCCCGCGAAUCUUGCUGAAAGGCGAGAGUGCCUUCGGGAGCGCGGAGACAGGUGGUGCAUGGCUGUCGUCAGCUCGUGUCGUGAGAUGUUGGGUUAAGUCCCGCAACGAGCGCAACCCUCGUCCUUAGUUGCCAGCAUUAAGUUGGGCACUCUAGGGAGACUGCCGGUGACAAACCGGAGGAAGGUGAGGAUGACGUCAAGUCAGCAUGCCCCUUAUGCUCUGGGCAACACACGUCCUACAAUGGUCGGGACAAAGGGGAGCAAGCUCGCGAGAGUAAGCGAAUCCCAGCAAACUCGGCCUCAGUUCAGAUUGCAGGCUGCAACUCGCCUGCAUGAAGGAGGAAUCGCUAGUAAUCGCAGGUCAGCAUACUGCGGUGAAUUCGUUCCCGGGCCUUGUAUACACCGCCCGUCACACCAUGGAAGCUG